CACACAAAGAAGCUUUAACUUUGGAUCAUGUUGCUUUUACAGUAGCACGCAGGUACAAUUCCUUGAGUUCUGAACUUAAGAAACAAAUACUUUCAAAUCUCUGUAGUUCACCAUUUUUAUUUGAUCGUCUCCAUUUUAUCUUUAGCUACAAAAAUUACAAAUACGUUUUGCGAAAUGUUUAUACAUAAAUCUAUCCAACAGCUUAAAGCACAGCUGAAAGGAUUAGUUAAUGAACUGAUUAUUCAGCCUAUAGAUAGGUGGCUGCUGUUUUGAUGUAGUUAAAUGCAGCAGCAUUUGUAACUAAUUUAAUAUUUUUAAAUCAGCUGAUUUAUGGAGAAAAUAAGCAUUAUUUUUUGUUUUUAAAAAAAAGUAAAUUCACAUUCUUCCACCAAUGGAUGAUUCAUUCUGAUCUGAUGGACACAAAGAGUACUUUUACAUAAAAUAAACCUUACUUACGUACUUUUAUGGUGUGCUAUCUUUACGUAAGAAAAGGAUGUAAAUGCCACACAGCUCUGUGUUGACGUCCUGUUAAUGUUGGUUUAUUCCAGGAUAUUUAGUCAGGAGAUAACAAGUGACCUUUGAACUUUCCAAGAGUAAAAGUAUUGCAAAAGUGAUCAUUAAAUUGAGUGGCAGCCAUUGCUAGGCUUUAAAACGAGAUCGGUCUCUUUUUAUUUUCUCUACUGAUCAGGGCAUGUCGUCUUUUUUUGUAAUUUACUCAGAUGCUAAAAAAAAGUGCCAUGGUUUAUUGUCCCACAUUUGAGAUUCCCAUGUUGUGCUUGUGUGUCAUUCUGUGGAUAUAUUGCUGCCAUCUUGUAAGAAAAAACAGAACAGAGAGCAGGUCCUGCAGACCCAACACUUCUUCAUCUGUGUAUAUCAUUCCUAUAUAUGAAGAGGAGGAGCAGGGGGAUGAGGAAGACAUAUGUGAAGCAUAUGAACCUUAUUACAGAGAACCUUCUGUGUACAAUUCAAGAAAUAUCAGUCCACCUCCUUCAUAUAUGGUAUGGCACUGCAUCUCAUUAACCUUCCUCAAUUUGAGUGUUUAAUUAUUAAAAGAUUAACCUUGUAAACUUAUAAAUGCCAUAAUCACCAACCAAACUGUGCAAUAUGAGUUCUUUGUAGAUCAGUGUCUCCUUUUGUAAAGCUUGAACCACCGUCCUACCCCAACCCACCCCCAUCAUACUCGGAUCCUCCAUAACUUUCAAAUGACAUCUCAAGAUGCAAUUGUGUGUUAGUUUUCUAAGCUGAAUGUAUGGGAAAUUUUACAUUGUGAGCAUAUAGAAAUAUUAAUUAAGCCAGGAAAAAAUGUAUCCAUAAAAUGACAUAAACUGUAAGUAUACAUCUUUUGAAAUGUUAUUGUUAUUUCACAACUUAAAGCAAGAGUUUGACCUUUAUUUAAAACAAAUGUGGGAUAUAUCCAUCAGUUUGUGUGAUGUGAUGAUUAAUCUUUAUGUUUCUCAUUGUAAAUGUAACUGUAUGUACACUAAAUAUGUUUUGAUACAUAGACACGUAUGUUUGAUAAAAAAAAGCAAAGUAAGAUAUAUUUUAAACAAAGAUAAUUUAUACCUAGUGGAUGAUUGCAGAUAAGAGCACAUUUUUAAAUGAACGUAAACAGUUUUGCUUUUUUAAAACACUCAGUAAGUAGUUCAGAUCAAAUAUCUGAUAAUUAUUAUUAUUAUUGUUAUUAUUAUUAGACCAUAAAAUCCCUAAAUCUUUCAUUUACAACAGUGUUUGGGUCCUUUGCUUUGACUUUUCAAAUUGUGGUGAGCUACAUCCUGUUUCUGUCUUUAAGUUCACUAUAAUUCACCUGUGGCAAAUUGCACUAAAAUCCUGAUGUAGAUUUAUAAAUAUAUAACCCCAUCAAGUGACCAAAAACUGAAGAGGUCACAUACUUAUGAAGCAGCUGUAUACUGUAAAUAAACAGUAUUACAGCUAUUUAAUACCAGAUCCAAGAAGUGCUGAUGUUGAUGGUUUGCUACAGUAAAUAUUGAUUGAAAUAAAUCUCAGAAUGAUUAUUUUCCACAUACACCAGAAGUAUGAAAGACCGAACGCACCCAUCUCUGUGUAUCUAUUUCUUUAAGCAUGUAUACGAUGCUGUAAAAGCUCUUAACAUUGCACUUCCCUUGGUGACACAUUGUCCUUUGGCAGCAACCCACAAGUUAGGACAGUUUCUGCUUUAAAAUAAAGGUAAGAAACCACCUCUCUGUUACAUUAUGAUUACAGUCCAGUUAUCAUUCUUUAGUUAUUUAAACGUCAAACUCAAAGGUGUUCUGUUUAUUUUUGCUUUUGGUUGUAAUGAGCAACAGAUUUAUAGGAUGAAGGUCCACUUCAAGGUGUUAAAACAGAAAACAGCAUAAAACCAUUUUGCUGAUUCUUCAUUCUGCUCUAUAUGCUGCUAACAAGCUUAUCAAAUAUUUCCUUUUGUUCAUGACUGGAUACUGUUUAAAAAUUCUUUAUUAAUAUGAGUGAAAUGUCAUAAGGUUACUAUAGGUCAUAGCCUUUUAAUGGGACAGUUUUAUGUCACGUUGUUUCAUAUGUUGUGCUGUAAGUGUGUUGUGCUGACAUGUACUGACGUUAGAUUUUAGGAGGUAAUACAGAUUAUCCCUACUGUAAAUUGCACAUAUCUAUUACAAUGUCAAUGAAACUCUUCAUUUCAAAUGAUAUUUAUUUAAAGCAGCAGAGUAACAGAAACUCUUCUGCUGCUGUAUAUGUCAAUAAAGUUUUAUUUUAUUUCACAGUAAUGUCAGCUGAUUGGUAUAACUCAAGCAAUGACUACAGUGGUGGCAAUUUUUCAAUAUAUAUUGCCACUCCUGAUGAUAUCCAUCGCUGUCGUAUUCCUGUGUUUCUAUUGUCAUUUGAAAAAGAAAAGAGGGGCGUACGAUGUCACCAUACAGAUGCAAGUGAAUACAAUUUCUUGGUCCGAAGAUCAGCCAGAAGUGGAUUCACAUUAUGAUAUAUUCCCUCCACGUUACAGCACCAUUGAACACCCACCACCGUACUCACUGUUUGAUCCCAGGCUGACGAAUGUUUGGCCAGGUGGUGCGGCGCCUGACUACGAGAUGUAUCCGAUAACCUUGCCUCUGGCACUUCAUUACUGGACGCCUUUGGCAGACUCCCAACUGCUGACCCCCCCAUCCUCACCUUUCAGCCACAACCAACCAAACCCACAGAGGCCACACGGAGGGUCCAUCAGCUAAACUCUUUAACCGUCAACAAAAUCACCAUGUACUGUUUCCUGUGUUUUUAAAAUAGUGUUCUUUUUAUUAUUUAACAUAUCGCAACUUAAAAUGAACUUAAUGGUUAAAAUUAAACAAUAUUUUGAACAAUUAAAAUUUUAAUACAUUUUUAUAUGAAGAUUAAAACUAUAACGUCGUUGUCCAACUGCAUGUACACACCAGCAGAAUUAUCAAAGCACCAAGUGUUUCUCUGUUAUACUAUACACUCUUUAUUACAAUACAGUACUUACAAGUGGAAAGGAAGAUUA